rnacentral:rRNA from 1 species
AUUGAACGCUGGCGGCAUGCUUUACACAUGCAAGUCGAACGGUAACAGGUUAAGCUGACGAGUGGCGAACGGGUGAGUGAUGCAUCGGAACGUGCCCGGUCGUGGGGGAUAACGCAGCGAAAGCUGCGCUAAUACCGCAUACGAUCUGAGGAUGGAAGCGGGGGACCGUAAGGCCUCGCGCGAUCGGAGCGGCCGAUGUCAGAUUAGGUAGUUGGUGGGGUAAAGGCCCACCAAGCCGACGAUCUGUAGCUGGUCUGAGAGGACGACCAGCCACACUGGGACUGAGACACGGCCCAGACUCCUACGGGAGGCAGCAGUGGGGAAUUUUGGACAAUGGGCGAAAGCCUGAUCCAGCAAUGCCGCGUGCAGGAAGAAGGCCUUCGGGUUGUAAACUGCUUUUGUACGGAGCGAAAAGGUCCUUUCUAAUACAAGGGGCUCAUGACGGUACCGUAAGAAUAAGCACCGGCUAACUACGUGCCAGCAGCCGCAGUAA